GCCUGCCUAGCUCAAUCGGAUAGAGUGUCAGACUCUUAUUCCAAUCAUAUCUGAAGGCUGCAAGUUCAACCCUCGCGGUGGGCU